UACGAACUGUGCGAACGUUAUUCGGAAUCACUGGGCUUAAAGGGUGCGUAGGCGGCGUUCCAAGUCAGGUGUGAAAUCCCCCAGCUCAACUGGGGAACAGCGCUUGAAACUAGAAUGCUCGAGCGAGAUAGGGGUGUGUGGAACUUCCGGUGGAGCGGUGAAAUGUGUAGAUAUCGGAAGGAACGCCAGCGGCGAAAGCGGCACACUGGGUCUUGUCUGACGCUGAGGCACGAAAGCUAGGGGAGUGAAC
rnacentral:rRNA from 1 species